UGUCGCGCAAUGGAUACUGCGUUGGGUUUUUAAUCCAGAGGUCGUGGGUUCGAAUCCCACCUGAAAAG